AGGUACAGCCAUGUCACCCUGCAGCCCAAGACCGUUGAAGCUAAGCAGGGCUGAGCCUGGUCAGUACCUGGAUGGGAGACCACUAGGGAACACUAGGUUGCUGUUGGAA
rnacentral:rRNA from 1 species